rnacentral:rRNA from 1 species
GACGAACGCUGGCGGCGUGCCUAAUACAUGCAAGUCGAGCGAAUGGAUUAAGAGCUUGCUCUUAUGAAGUUAGCGGCGGACGGGUGAGUAACACGUGGGUAACCUGCCCAUAAGACUGGGAUAACUCCGGGAAACCGGGGCUAAUACCGGAUAACAUUUUGAACCGCAUGGUUCGAAAUUGAAAGGCGGCUUCGGCUGUCACUUAUGGAUGGACCCGCGUCGCAUUAGCUAGUUGGUGAGGUAACGGCUCGCCAAGGCAACGAUGCGUAGCCGACCUGAGAGGGUGAUCGGCCACACUGGGACUGAGACACGGCCCAGGCUCCUACGGGAGGCAGCAGUAGGGAAUCUUCCGCAAUGGACGAAAGUCUGACGGAGCAACGCCGCGUGAGUGAUGAAGGCUUUCGGGUCGUAAAACUCUGUUGUUAGGGAAGAACAAGUGCUAGUUGAAUAAGCUGGCACCUUGACGGUACCUAACCAGAAAGCCACGGCUAACUACGUGCCAGCCGCCGCGGUAA